rnacentral:misc_RNA from 1 species
UCCGGUUUAUCACCGGCGGUUCCGUUAAAGUGCCCAGCAUAACCUGAUGGCAACUAACGGCGAGGGUUGCGCUCGUUGCGGGACUUAACCCAACAUCUCACGACACGAGCUGACGACAGCCAUGCAGCACCUGUAUAUGAUCCGGCCGAACCGACAGAAACGAUCUCUCGUCUCCUUAAUCACUAUGUCAAGAGCUGGUAAGGUUUUUCGCGUUGCUUCGAAUUAAACCACAUACUCCACCGCUUGUUCAGGUCCCCGUCAAUUCCUUUGAGUUUUAAUCUUGCGACCGUACUCCCCAGGCGGAAUGCUUAUAGCGUUAACUGCGACACCGAAAAUUGCUUCCCGACAUCUAGCAUUCAUCGUUUACGGCGUGGACUAC